rnacentral:rRNA from 1 species
GAUGAACGCUAGCGGCAGGCUUAACACAUGCAAGUCGAGGGGCAGCACGUCUUCGGAUGGUGGCGACCGGCGCACGGGUGCGUAACGCGUAUACAAUCUACCUUUUACAGGGGCAUAGCCCGGGGAAACCCGGAUUAAUAUCCCAUGGUAUCAUUUAGUGGCAUCACUUGAAUGAUUAAAGUUUCGGCGGUAAAAGAUGAGUAUGCGUUCUAUUAGCUAGAUGGUAAGGUAACGGCUUACCAUGGCUACGAUAGAUAGGGGUCCUGAGAGGGAGAUCCCCCACACUGGUACUGAGACACGGACCAGACUCCUACGGGAGGCAGCAGUGAGGAAUAUUGGACAAUGGGCGAGAGCCUGAUCCAGCCAUGCCGCGUGCAGGAAGACUGCCCUAUGGGUUGUAAACUGCUUUUAUACGGGAAGAAACACCUCCACGUGUGGAGGCUUGACGGUACCGUAUGAAUAAGGAUCGGCUAACUCCGUGCCAGCAGCCGCGGU